ensembl:lncRNA
GUUCACGGGACAGCGGGGCGGGGUAUUCAAAUACCCAAGACCUGAUGACUGUCCGAGAGGGUAGUCGGUGUGUUGUUGGGUUUCUUUAUGCAUAAACCAGUUUGUUCUUUUGGGAAUUGAUAGUACGCGUGGAUUUAGAGGAACUAGAGUUCACCGCGUUAUUAUGUUAUUGUGUCUAAACUUGGAUCCACGAACAGCCGGCCCGAUUACAUCCGGAGGGGCCCCGGGAGUACCCGUCAAACAUCGCAAUUGAUCCACUGGUGGGUCGGACACUGUUCAUGUUUAUAGGUAUUAGAGCACAUUACUGCCUGAACGAAGAAGAAAGAACCGCAGGAGCUGGCCCAGGUACUGGGGGGGACUGAACGCUUUGAUCAGGCGAACAACAGCCCAUCCACAGCUCUGAAGCUGAACAAAGUCAUCGCCAUCAUUGGUACUUCCUUGCUGCUGGUUGCCUGUUUGUAUUAUUAUUAGUUGUUAUCAUACUACAUGUUGUGGCAACCCGUCGACAGCACAGCGCCCCUGGAGCAAGCCCCUCAGGUGCCUCAGGUGGAGCACCUGAGGAGCCGUAAAAAGGGGCACCUGAGGAGCACACUCAGUCAAGGCUCUCCUCUUGUUUUUUUUUGCGGAGAGACCAGUCUCCGUGGGUGACGUGAUUCCAGCGGGAGGAACAAGACUGUGGAUUCUAGGGGUGUGCCAAAAUAUCGAUACUGCGACAUAUCGCGAUAUUUUGUCUUGCGGGACGUUAUCGAUAUGCUGACGCCAAAUAUCGAUAUUUAAAGGUCCCAUGACAUGAAAAUCUCACUUUAUGAGGUUUUCUAACAUAAAUAACGUUUGGUGUAAAACGAGCACUAGCUGUUCUGCUCGCCUUUGAAAAAACGGAGGCUCAAGUGCGCUGAUUUGGAAUGUCUGUAUUCUUGACGCCAUCAGGAAUCUCAGCUCCUCCCCUUACUCUGCCUGGCCCGCCCAGAGACGUUGGCCCGCCAAUGAGACUCGACCGUGCGAGCGCCACAUGUGUGUGUGUUUGUGUGAAUACACACACUGUAACGCAAGUGUUUCUUGUCGGUUCUUUGACGUGUCUUGUAUUUCCACAACGAGACUGUCGUGGGGGUUAUCUGAGCCAUGGUUGAGAAGGAAUUGGGAGAAAGGAACUUUGGUUUGACUCGCUGAAGUACAUGAACUGCGUCAUGCCGCCGGUUGCCGCGAGGCACCAUCGCCCGGCAGCCGGCAGCCGGCAGCGCGCGGUUCAGUCGACUUCAGGUUGAUGUGAAAGUGGAAGAACCAGAGACGUCGCAGAACCCGACAAAGUCGUUUGUGAUUCAUUAUAUCGUCUGGAGGCGCACACCGCUUUUGGCCGUGAUAAUAUGUAUUAAAUGAUAUAGAUUUCUAUGUAUUAUAUGAUAUUAUUUAGAUAUAGAGCUCCAGGACUGUAUCGCAAGUGUUGUACACUUCCUUGUUAUUUGGAUAACCGUUCUGUCGGACUCUCGUCUCUGGUAUUUCUACAACGAGACUCGUAUUGGGGGUUAUCUCAGCCAAGGUUGAGAAUGAAUUGGGGGGAAGGAACUUUGGCUUUGACUCCCUCAAGAACAUGAACCACGACAUGGAGGAGAAAGGGAUUGUUGGCGGCGAAUGUCUCCAGCUUGAGACCCGCUGAGGGAUUGUUCCCGAGCGCUGCCCGGGAACAAUCCCUUUCUCCUCCUUGUCGUGGUUCAGUCUACUUCACAUUGAUGAGGACGUUGAAGAACCAGGAACGUCGGAGAACCCAACGCGGUCGUUUGAGAUUCAUAAUAUCGGAUCACACAUCUUUUGGCGGUUAUAAUAUAUAUUAUAUAGAUAUCUAUGUAGGCUAUAUGAUAAUAUUUUGAUAUAGACUCCCGUGUGUUCUAGAAUAUUUACAGAACACGGCUAAAGGCUGUGUGCGCCUCGCCAUUGCGAUACAUCCACUGUAAACAGAGCGAAUGAAACUAAGCAAUGAAAUGUUUUCUGCAUUUAUUUUGUUUUCUAAUUUUCUGUUACUUUGCAUAAAAUGUUUUUGUAAUAAAUUCUGAAUUUCUUCAGUGACACAGAUAUCGUGAUGUAUCGUGGGUGAAAUUUCUUUUAAUAUAUCGAUAAUCGCAGAAUCGCUGUAUCGUGAUAUUAUCGUUAUCGUGGGUAAAAUAUCGUGAUAGUAUCGUAUCGUGGGGUGCCUAGUGAUACCCAGCCCUAGUGGAUUCCUCAAAAGACGUUUUUGUUCGGUUUAAUAGUAAUAUACUUUAUGCUUGAAUAAAAGUGCCAUUUUGGCUUAAAGUAAGCUCCGGUUCGUGUUCUGAUUGGAAGGAGGCGGUUCACUCACCAAUCAGGGUUGCAACAAUGUAAGGAAUAAAAAACUGAAAUGAUUUAAAAUAGCAGAAUAGAUCAUUGAUGAAUGCUAAAGAUUAGUUAAUUUUUUGGGAUUUCUGGCGUCGCGUUGCCAAGUUUUCCUUGUAAUGUUUUGCUGAAACUAUUUAGCUUAGUAUAUUUCCCAUGAUUGACUGAUGCACAGAAGCCGAUAGACAACUAAAUACAUAUUCAUGUUGCCAAAAAAUAAAUAAAAAAAA